AAUCAACGCUGGCGGCGUGCCUAACACAUGCAAGUCGAACGCGAAAAGGGGCAACCCUGAGUAGAGUGGCGUCCGGGUGAGUAACACGUGGAUAAUCUGCCUGCGGGCGGGGAAUAACUUUCCGUAAAGGGGAGGCUAUACCGCAUAACACCGUAAUAGGGCGAUCCUGAUACGGUCAAAGAAGGGGGAGUCGCAAGACCUCUCGCCUGCAGAGGAGUCCGCGGCCGAUUAGCUAGUUGGCGAGGUAACGGCUCACCAAGGCAGCGAUCGGUAGCCGGCCUGAGGAGGGCGAA
rnacentral:rRNA from 1 species